rnacentral:rRNA from 1 species
UACGGAGGGUGCGAGCGUUGUCCGGAAUCACUGGGCGUAAAGGGCGCGUAGGUGGCGCUCCAAGUCUGUGGUGAAAGCUCGAUGCUCAACAUCGAGUCGGCCAUAGAGACUGGAGGGCUCGAGCACUGUAGGGGCAGAUGGAAUUCCGGGUGUAGCGGUGGAAUGCGUAGAGAUCCGGAAGAACACCGGUGGCGAAGGCGGUCUGCUGGGCAGUUGCUGACACUGAGGCGCGACAGCGUGGGGAGCAAACAGG